rnacentral:rRNA from 1 species
UACGUAGGGUGCAAGCGUUAAUCGGAAUUACUGGGCGUAAAGCGUGCGCAGGCGGUUUUGUAAGUCUGAUGUGAAAUCCCCGGGCUCAACCUGGGAAUUGCAUUGGAGACUACAAGGCUAGAAUCUGGCAGAGGGGGGGUAGAAUUCCACGUGUAGCAGUGAAAUGCGUAGAGAUGUGGAGGAACACCGAUGGCGAAGGCAGCCCCCUGGGUCAAGAUUGACGCUCAUGCACGAAAGCGUGGGGAGCAAACAGGAUAGAAACCUAUAG